rnacentral:tRNA from 1 species
AGGGGCUUAGGAUAAACCUAGACCGAGAGCCUUCAGAGGCUUCUAACAAGGGAGUGAAAGUCUUCCAGCCUCUG